rnacentral:rRNA from 1 species
GAUGAAUGCUGGCGGCGUGCCUAACACAUGCAAGUCGAGCGUGAUUAAGUGGAAUGAAGGGCUUGCCUGGAAUGAAAUUUAUGAAAGCGGCGGACGGGUGAGUAACGCGUGGGCAACCUGCCCUAUACAGAAGGAUAGCCACUGGAAAAGGUGAUUAAUACUUCAUAAGACCACAGAGUCGCAUGGCUUGGGGGUCAAAGAUUUAUCGGUAUAGGAUGGGCCCGCGUUUGAUUAGCUAGUUGGUGAGGUAACGGCUCACCAAGGCGACGAUCAAUAGCCGACCGGAGAGGGUGAACGGCCACACUGGAACUGAGACACGGUCCAGACUCCUAUGGGAGGCAGCAGUGGGGAAUAUUGCACAAUGGGCGCAAGCCUGAUGCAGCAACCCCGCGUGAGUGAUGAAGGCUUUCGGGUCGUAAAACUCUGUCCUAAGGGAAGAAUAAAUGACGGUACCUUAGGAGGAAGCCCCGGCAAACUACGUGCCAGCCGCCGCCGUAACAC